UACGGGGGGAGCAAGCGUUGUUCGGAUUUACUGGGCGUAAAGGGCGCGUAGGCGGCGUGGCAAGUCACUUGUGAAAUCUCCGGGCUUAACUCGGAACGGUCAAGUGAUACUGCUGUGCUAGAGUGCGGAAGGGGCAACUGGAAUUCUUGGUGUAGCGGUGAAAUGCGUAGAUAUCAAGAGGAACACCUGAGGUGAAGACGGGUUGCUGGGCUGACACUGACGCUGAGGCGCGAAAGCCAGGGGAGCAAACGGG
rnacentral:rRNA from 1 species